rnacentral:rRNA from 1 species
UGGGGAAUAUUGCACAAUGGGCGCAAGCCUGAUGCAGCGACGCCGCGUGGAGGAUGACGGUUUUCGGAUUGUAAACUCCUGUUAAACGGGAAAAAAGACGCAUGGCUAAUAUCCAUGUGGGAUGAUGGUACCGUUAGAGAAAGCACCGGCAAACUUCGUGCCAGCAGCCGCGGUAAUACGAAGGGUGCAAGCGUUAUUCGGAAUGACUGGGCGUAAAGCGCGUGAAGGCGGUUUAUUAAGUCAACUGUGAAAUUGCUCGGCUUAACUGAGCAUGUGCAGAUGAAACUGGUGAACUAGAGUGCAGGAGAGAAGAGUGGAAUUCUCGGAGUAGCGGUAAAAUGCGUAGAUCUCGAGAGGAACACCGGUUGCGAAGGCGGCUCUUUGGCCUGUAACUGACGCUAAAGCGCGAAAGCGUGGGGAGCAAACAGG